UAAUAAAAAAAUCCCAUUUAUAACAGGUAGAGAAAUAUCACCAUAAGAAUUCUUCCCCAAAACACCAGUGUUUUAUUUAAAACAUAGUUUUAAAUGGCAUAUAUUUUUCACUUUAAAAAAUAAACUGAUUUAAAUUAAAUACGAAACUGGAAGAGGUGAUAAAGAAAACUGUGAUUGGAAUUCAAAGCCUAAAACAUAGAGAAAAAAACUUCUAUGUGAGCCUGAAUCUAAUAAUUCUAGACUAUUAAAGGUAACAGUAGCCAGAGAUAGUCACUUUAAUUAACUACCUAAAGAUAAUAUUUCUUUUUCAGAAACUAAGAUUUUUCUUUUCCUUAGAUAUCUAGUUCAUUUAGAGUAGUUUUGUAUAACUGAUGAAACACCACACAAAGCGACUAUGUGUGUUUAAACUGAAUUAGAAUGUUCUUAAAAGUAGAGUUUGGCUGAUGAAAAUCACAAAUAAAAAGUAAUAAAUCUUUAGAUAAAAUAGUCCUGACACAAUAGAAAUGUAAAUAUGAGAACAAAUCAAUAUACUUUGCACAUGUAAGUUGGUGUAGGCUCCAUAUAACCUUUACAUUAACAAAAUGAAGCCCUAACUUUAGUAUAGAGGACGAAACUGGUUACGAAACAGUAUGUCUUAACAGUUAGUAGUUACUAAACCCAGCAUUCUUUCAGAAUAAUAGUUAAAUAGUGCAUGUAUAAAGGAGUUAAAAUUGAUUUAAAUCACAUGGAUGAAAAAGUGUUUGACUUCCAAAGAAAUAAGUUUCUGUUGAUGGACUUCUGUCAUUGUAAUCCACUAAAUCAAUUCACAUCAGUAAGCAAUAUGUGGAUAAUGACUGAGACCUAACACAAAAUUCUAUAUCUUUUAAAGAUUUUUACUAGUUCUGUAUAUGAAUCAAUCUGGAAAAUAUAUAGGGGCUUCUCUCUCCUUUAUUAUUGAACUACAUGUUGAAAUUUGUAUUUUGAAAGAAUCUGAACAACCAUUAGAAAGAAGCUGAUACUGUUUUGUUGAGCUCUUCAAAGAGGAGACCAUAUUCUCUCCUUCCACUUUGCAGCAUGCCUAGCACACUACACAGAGCAGAGAAUGAGCUGCUAUUGUGCCUCUGCAUAUAGUUAGUAAUCAAAUGAUUUGAAGACCCCUGUCUUCUCUUCAAUUUCUGUUAUAAAUCUGGAGCUCCAUAUAAGAUGUGCCCAGUGUGAGUCUGAAUAGGAGAGGAUGCAGUGGUGGCAAAAAGCGAUCUCUGUAUUUUCUUGAUCUUUUCCAGUAAUUUGAUGGGAUGAUGCUUAAUAUAUCUUCAGUUGCCUAUAGAUUCAAAGGCAUUUUGUAGCAACUGAUAAAGUUAUGGAAAUAUAUGCAUACAGAUACAUGGAAAUAUAUGGAUAUCUCCUCUCCUCUCCUCUCCUCUCCUCUCCUCUCCUCUCCUCUCCUCUUCUCUCCGAACCUCUCCGAACCUCUCCCUAUAUUAAACAAUUCUUGCCUAUUACACAUACUCUACAGGUGUUGAGCAUUGUAAGCUGGAGGUGAUACUGGCCAGAGAAUAGCAUAAAGCCCUGUUCUUUUUUUUAAUUUCUUUCCUUGAAUACUAUGAAGGCUUACAUUGGUGAUAUUUGGUGAACAAGCUCUGUAGGGAACCAAACCUUUUCUCCCAACAAAUAAAGAUUUAAAAUACCAAGUGUGGCCUGCUGUUAUCAUAUCAGCAUGUUUUGAUUUCUAAUACAUAAUAUUGCUGUAAAUAAUGCUACAAGGAGAUCAAACCUUGCCUUGAUUAACUUGACAUUCGAAUUUGUCACUCCACUACCUAAUGGACUGCCUACAUUUACAGAGCAACUGCAAGGUGAAUACAUAUGCAUGUGUUCCUGGUGUGCCUCUGCUAUAAAUAAAGAAAGGUAUUUCUAAAUGCUGUAAAAGCCUCUUAAGGACAGAUUGUAGCAAUCUUAGAGAGCCCUGUCAAACACUGUACAGUCAGAGGGAAACACGGAGUGUCUUUGACUGCAGCUGGUGCAUGGCAAUACUUUUGUGGGUUGAUUGGACAAAAUGUUAACUCACAUUCUGAUUUCUGUCUCUCAGUUAAGACAGCUAAAUCACCUAUACUCCAGUGAGCAUGCAGCUUUGAAAUAAGAGAGAACAGAGUAUACAUGGAUUAAUUAUCUAUCUCUUCAUCUUAGUACAAGCUUAAAAAUAUUGCCUUAUUUUUUUUUUUUUUUCCACAGGUGUAGCUUUCUUUCCAGUCAGUGUGAAGAUGCACAGUAAACGCAAUCUGCUGUUCUGGAAGAAACACCGAGAACAUAAAGAGAAUGGGAUAAUAGCUACAGGGCUCCAUAUGUUGAUGACAAGCUUUUUUCAAACAUGGAAACUGGAAAAGAGGUACAGAGGUGCCUUGGUGAACAGAUGCUCUGGUAAGACAAAUGAUAAAUGCAUCCACUAAAUUAGCAAGUUGCUGAACUUUUGAUAAAAACUUAAAAAAAAUCCACUUUUUUUCACAACCCAGGUUUGUCAUAUAUUAUUAGUGUUUUUCUACACCAAAUUGUCACUGUGUUUGAGUGGAACCUGCUUGAAUGAAAAUAGGGAAAAAUCAGGUGAGAGCUGGAUGCUGUUUGAACAACUGUGACACGUGAUAUCCUGCCCUAAGAAAUCAUUAUAAUUCAACACAAGAGUAAUGUUGGUGCUUAAGUGUAACUUGAAUAAAAAAA